rnacentral:rRNA from 1 species
AUUAAAAACCAAUGCCCUUCGGGGCUCUCUGGUGAUUCAUAAUAACUUCUCGAAUCGCACGGCCUUGCGCUGGCGAUGGUUCAUUCAAAUUUCUGCCCUAUCAACUUUCGACGGCUGGGUCUUGGCCAGCCGUGGUGACAACGGGUAACGGAGGGUUAAGGCUCGACCCCGGAGAAGGAGCCUGAGAAACGGCUACUACAUCCAAGGAAGGCAGCAGGCGCGCAAAUUACCCAAUCCCGACACGGGGAGGUAGUGACAAUAAAUACUGAUACAGGGCUCUUUCGGGUCUUGUAAUUGGAAUGAGUACAAUUUAAAUCCCUUAACGAGGAACAAUUGGAGGGCAAGUCUGGUGCCAGCAGCCGCGGUAAUUCCAGCUCCAAUAGCGUAUAUUAAAGUUGUUGAGGUUAAAAAGCUCGUAGUUGAACCUUGGGCCUAGCCGGCCGGUCCGCCUCACCGCGUGCACUGGCUCGGCUGGGUCUUUCCUUCUGGAGAACCGCAUGCCCUUCACUGGGUGUGCC